GGAAAGUUUGACAUGUGUCACUAGUGGAACCAACCCCGAUUUUACGCCACGUUAGCAGAAUAAUUUAAAAAAAAUCUAAAAGAAAUUUGUAAUACUAUAUUUAGCAACUUCCAUCUUCACGUUGGCACGUGGACCUGAACACAAGUGAUGAUGUGAAUAUGUGAUAUCUUCCCUAGCGUGGUCCACAGCCUGUAAAUGGAGGAAAAUUGAAAAAAGAGAGAGUUAAAGAUUGGCUAAUUUAAACCUAAGUGUAGGUAAUUAAUGAUAGCCUAAAACCUUCCUUGCCACACCAAUGACCAAUGAGCAAGCUUUAUUUGAAUUUUUCUGCUUCCAAUCUCUAUCUUCAAGAUUUUUUUUAUUUUUAUAAGAAUUCGUAACUGCUGCAUUAAAUAUUGUUGAUUAUUUUUUAAAUUCCUCAUUAUGGAUUUACCCAAACCUCCCACAACAGCCAAUUAACGGAGAGAGAAAAUAGAGAAAACAACACGACAAAUUAUCAGGGCAGCUUUGCGUGUUUUCUUUAACUGCUGCCUGGUGCCUGCAACCAUUAACUUUACGUGUUUAUCAAAACUAACAAACCUUGCUUUUCUCUUCCAUUUGCAGCCCUAUCAAUUGCAAACCAUGAUGCCUCCCUAUAGUCUGCUACUCAAGAUGAUUUUAAUUUGAAAUUUGAAAUUUGAAAUUAGUGCAUGCAAACCUUCUUGAACGAUCUAUAAAUUGGGAUGAAUGGAAUCUAAGCAGUUGUUGUGCGCAUCUGGAUUCAGACUUCGGAGGAUGGCUGGCCGGAUUUAUUGAAGGCAGAGUUGGAGGGGCGAUGACGGUGGUGGAAGGGGCUGCUCGGAGUUUGGAGAUGGUGCCUGAAUCGAGAGAUUAGAUGUUUCAUCUAACCGUGGAGCUUUCUUAAGCAGAGGACAUCGGUUCAUGGAAGGGAGGAUUUUGGUGAGUUUGAUGAAGCGUGUGCUCUACUUUCCAUCUCUUUGCUUUCAAGUUUCAAGCAAGGCAGUGGCUUACUGAUCUGGCAAAUGGAGGUUACUUCUGGCAUGUGCCGAGGUCGCAAACAGUAUCUCCUCUCACUCAUGGAGGUAUGAAGGAAUUUUGCCUGCUGGGCAUUUGCUUCAAUUGAUCUAUUGAUCUAUAUGCUCCAAAAGGAUAUCUCAAAUGGUUUCUUUUCUCAAACAAUUCCUGACUUAUAUGAAAUUACAUAAUACAUUUUUCCUUUACUUGAUUAUGUUAUCGGUUUUUUUUUUUGUUGUUGUUUGAGGUCCAAGUCCAUUGGAUGUUGGUAACAAUUAAAAAAGACAGAGGUGUAAGAAGAGUUGUUGGACUUGGAAGGGUUAUGUGAGGAAAGGUGGAGUUUGUACCAUGAAUAAAGAUGAUUUAGUUAACCAAAUAACCUACUUAGAUGGUGGAGUUUGUUUAUGGAAUUUAAUAUGGUUGAGAACUAAAUAUAGGAGCUACAAAUUUCAUUUUGUUGAAUGAAGGUUCUGAAACAUUAGCAUUUAAACAAUACAUCUGAUUUAUCUACCAGUUGUUUUCUUCUAUUUGCAACUCUAUUUUGUCCUCAACUCUUCUAAUUUGUUUAGUUUUCAUUUUUACAGGGCUUUCCGUGUGGUAAGUUUCAUCAUGAUGCAAUCUUUUUCUUUCGGGCUUUGAUUUUUCUCCUCUCGGUAAUCAAAGAAAUCUUUGCUUUUAACCAAAUUCACCAAGAUUUUUUGUUUUAAAAUAGACGCCUUUUUUCUUCGUCUCCUCGAUUUACAAUACGGAGUUUCAGGAUCUCAUAUUUCUUUUAGGACUAUAUAAAUGACAUUUUCUUUCUUUCUUUUAGCUGCACUCUUAUAAUGUCAUCAAUACAUUUUUUUGUUGAAACUCAUUGUCAAGAGCAGGAGAAUACGAUCUUGAAUUUUACAUGUCAUGGGAAGGAGAAUAUGAAUAUGAGGGGCCUGGAUAUCUAGGAGAAUAUUUGAUUUGUUAGGAUUGAUAGUUUAAUAUUUUGCUUACUCUAUUUUAAUUUGUAGAAAUGCUUUUAAGGUUUUGGGUAUUUAAAUAUUUUAAAUGCUUUUUGUUGUGGUAGACUCUAAUUUGUCAUUGACACAUUUUGAUAUAAUUUUAGCUAAUAUUACGAUAUUAAAGUUCUUUUUAUUGAUGUUCUUGGUUAUCUUUUAGAAAUGUCCAUUAAGAUAUUAACUUUUUUAUUUUGUUAAAAGCUCUAACCUUUUUGAGUUGUUUUAAUCAUAGGAAUAUAUAAAAGUAUGUAGAACUCCAAUAAUAAGGUGUAGGUGAAGCUAUUUGUUUUAGAUAGAGAAAAAUUUGGUGUGUUCUCUUCACGAGAUGAAUAUAUACUAUUUAGAAUUUUAGAUACAUUUUGAGGACCAAGUGAUGUUAUUAAUCUUUUAAUUGUACAAAUUGCUACUAAAUAUUUAUGGACAACAUGUGAAUCAUUUGCUAUAGUGUUACAUCAGUCUUUUGAGGCACUUAAAAGGAUUUAAGUUCUAUUCACUUCUCUUCUCUUUUUCGGUUUGUUGUGAUCUUCAUUGUCAUUUCUUGAUUUGUUUAGAUAAAGAGGUCUAGAAAUAAGUGCUUAGACAAAUCUAUUACUUAUGAACAAAGGCAUAUGCAAGUUUUGACUACAAACACUCUUCUAUCUAUGACUUCAUGGUAGUUGAGUUUUUAUAAGUUUCUAUAUGGUUCACUUUAGGAAUCAUGGAUCUCUGCUAUGUUACAAAAAAUGAUGUGGCUAAAUGAAAAGGUGCUAUGGGUGGUUUGUAUUAGUUUUGUUGCUAAUCCAUUUUUGUGAAAGUUAUCUAGAGUUGCUCUGUUAAAUGGUGGAUGAUAGCCAUCCAUUUUAUUCAAUGAAUGUGUGUAUUUCAAAUCACUUAUGGAUUUACCUGCAUUUUAUCUAUUCUAUGCAUGGGUUGCAAAUUUGUUACUUGGUUUCAUUCAAUGAUGAUUUUGAUAGAUAUGAAUUUUGGAAUUAUAUUCACAAAAAUAGUAAAUGGGGCUGAAUGUGUGAGUUGUCAUUCUCGCACGAUUCUAUUCUUAUCUUAAGACUCAAUUUUGCUUAAUAGCAUACUUUGAUGAGUUUCUUUAUUUUCAGGACUAAAUGAGACCACUUGCUCAUAAUCAAGUGUGAUCUUCUAAAAUUUGGGACAGCUUGACAUAAAAUUAAUGGCCGAGUUGCCUUUUAACAUGUACAGGCCUUUUCUAAGCAUUGAAGUGGAACUGAUGGAAGUGGUAUGAUAACACAAUGUGAAAUCAGAAGUAUAAUAUAAUUGGUGCAGGAGUCAUGUGUGAUAUGUCAAUUCGAUGUGUUUGUAGAAGUUUUAUAAUGGUGUGGGACUUAACAAACGAUCUUCAGAACAAAUGGGAAUGAUGACAAUGUCGCAGUAUAAGGUGCAAAGGAGAUAGAGCAGAAAUAGAUUGAUGGGCAACUAGGGAUUCUGCUAUUUGAUUCCCAACAAGCGAAUAUUGUGCUUUGUGAUGGAAGAAUUGAAAGUGGAGUUGGAGAGAAUAGCAGGUUAUGAAACACAAUACGGUGAUAUCCAAGAAAAAUUUGAUAACAUGAAGAGUUACUUAGAGACUAUAACAGUGCAGCUUGAUGAUUUCUUUGAUGAAAUAGUAGAAGGAAUGAAGAAGUUUCUGGUCAUGUGCUAUCAUAGGUAGAAAAAAAUUUAGAUAUAGAGAAAAGGAACUAGAAAAAAAAUGUUAAAAAAAGCACUGUCAUCUUGGUUAACGCUUUGGGUCUCAAAUUGUACAGGCUACAAGAGUUAGGCUAGAUACUAUUUUGGUGCAAAGUACUGCAAAAUCUGUGGGAUUCUUGAUUAUAGGCAUGUAUAUAAAUUAUAAUUUUAGAGACAAGUAUAAUUUUCAAUUA